rnacentral:rRNA from 1 species
UACAGAGGGUGCGAGCGUUAAUCGGAAUUACUGGGCGUAAAGCGCACGUAGGCGGCUUGGUAUGUCGGGUGUGAAAUCCCCGGGCUCAACCUGGGAACUGCAUCCGAAACUGCCUUGCUAGAGUAUGGGAGAGGGAAGUGGAAUUUCCGGUGUAGCGGUGAAAUGCGUAGAUAUCGGAAGGAACAUCAGUGGCGAAGGCGGCUUCCUGGACCAAUACUGACGCUCAGGUGCGAAAGCGUGGGGAGCAAACAGA